rnacentral:rRNA from 1 species
CCUACGGGGGGCUGCAGUGGGGAAUAUUGGACAAUGGGGGGAACCCUGAUCCAGCCAUGCCGCGUGUGUGAAGAAGGCCCUCGGGUUGUAAAGCACUUUCAGUGAGGAAGAACGCCUGGUGGUUAAUACCCAUCAGGAAAGACAUCACUCACAGAAGAAGCACCGGCUAACUCCGUGCCAGCAGCCGCGGUAAUACGGAGGGUGCGAGCGUUAAUCGGAAUUACUGGGCGUAAAGCGCGCGUAGGUGGCUUGAUAAGCCGGUUGUGAAAGCCCCGGGCUCAACCUGGGAACGGCAUCCGGAACUGUCAAGCUAGAGUGCAGGAGAGGAAGGUAGAAUUCCCGGUGUAGCGGUGAAAUGCGUAGAGAUCGGGAGGAAUACCAGUGGCGAAGGCGGCCUUCUGGACUGACACUGACACUGAGGUGCGAAAGCGUGGGUAGCAAACAGGAUUAGAUACACGUGUAGUC